AUUAUACCGCGAAACUGCGAAUGGCUCAUUAUAUAAGUUAUCGUUUAUUUGAUAGUACCUUACUACUUGGAUAACCGUGGUAAUUCUAGAGCUAAUACAUGCUAAAAAUCCCGACUUCGGAAGGGAUGUAUUUAUUAGAUUAAAAACCAAUGCCCUCCGGGGCUCUCUGGUGAUUCAUGAUAACUUCUCGAAUCGCAUGGCCUUGCGCCGGCGAUGGUUCAUUCAAAUUUCUUCCCUAUCAACUUUCGAUGUUUGGGUAUUGGCCAAACAUGGUUGCAACGGGUAACGGAGGGUUAGGGCUCGACCCCGGAGAAGGAGCCUGAGAAACGGCUACUACAUCCAAGGAAGGCAGCAGGCGCGCAAAUUACCCAAUCCCGACACGGGGAGGUAGUGACAAUAAAUACUGAUACAGGGCUCAUUUGGGUCUUGUAAUUGGAAUGAGUACAAUUUAAAUCCCUUAACGAGGAACAAUUGGAGGGCAAGUCUGGUGCCAGCAGCCGCGGUAAUUCCAGCUCCAAUAGCGUAUAUUAAAGUUGUUGUGGUUAAAAAGCUCGUAGUUGAACCUUGGGCCUGGCUGGCCGGUCCGCCUCACCGCGUGUACUGGUCCGGCCGGGCCUUUCCCUCUGUGGAACCCCAUGCCCUUCACUGGGUGUGGCGGGGAAACAGGACUUUUACUUUGAAAAAAUUAGAGUGCUCCAGGCAGGCCUAUGCUCGAAUACAUUAGCAUGGAAUAAUAAAAUAGGACGUGUGGUUCUAUUUUGUUGGUUUCUAGGACCGCCGUAAUGAUUAAUAGGGACAGUCGGGGGCAUCAGUAUUCAAUUGUCAGAGGUGAAAUUCUUGGAUUUAUUGAAGACUAACUACUGCGAAAGCAUUUGCCAAGGAUGUUUUCAUUAAUCAGGAACGAAAGUUAGGGGAUCGAAGACGAUCAGAUACCGUCGUAGUCUUAACCAUAAACUAUGCCGACUAGGGAUCGGACGAUGUUAUAAUUUGACUCGUUCGGCACCUUACGAGAAAUCAAAGUGCUUGGGCUCCAGGG
rnacentral:rRNA from 1 species